ACCUACCCUGGAGCGAGCUACCCUGUAGCUACCCUGGAGCGGGCUACCCUGUAACGUUUUGCCGGUGGACCAUUAAACUCUUGUUAUUAUAUUGUAAUCUGAGCGUCUUAUUUUAAUAAGUCAAAACUUUCAACAACGGAUCUCUUGGUUCUGGCAUCGAUGAAGAACGCAGCGAAAUGCGAUAAGUAAUGUGAAUUGCAGAAUUCAGUGAAUCAUCGAAUCUUUGAACGCACAUUGCGCCCAUUAGUAUUCUAGUGGGCAUGCCUGUUCGAGCGUCAUUUCAACCCUUAAGCCUAGCUUAGUAUUGGGAGCUUAUUUGUCAAAGAAUAACUCCUCAAAUUCAACGGCGGAUCUGUGGUAUCCUCUGAGCGUAGUAAUUUUUAUCUCGCUUUUGUUAGGUGCUGCAGCUCCCAGCCGCUAAACCCCCCAAUUUUUAAUGGUUGACCUCGGAUCAGGUAGGAAUACCCGCUGAACUUAAG
rnacentral:rRNA from 1 species